rnacentral:snoRNA from 1 species
CUGGAAAAGACAGUGAUGUUAUAGUUCCAAGCACAUAUCUGAGCUGUACGUGUGGACAACCCUACAACUGAGUCUUUUCCAC